UUGAAUUUUAGUAGCUUCUAACCUAAAAUGUCAAUAAUAUGAUUUACAGGUUUCACGCUACACCGAAUUUGAUUGUGUUAUUUUUUACAGCGUAAUCAUACAGUAUUUAGUAGUACUGCAGAGGUUAAAGGUUAAAAUUGUGUACAAAACAAGUAGUGAUUGGUCGUUUAGGGUUCAGCGUAGUAAUUUUUGCUAGUGUAGCGGGAGUUUAAUGGAUCAGCGGACUGUACGAUUGAUAGUGAAAGGGGCAGGACUGUUUUCUGUAGGGAACCCUGUUGUUCCAUCCUGGGGCCUUAGACAAUAUUAGAGAUGUUGUGCAUUAUUUAGAAGUCUUACUAACCAGCACAGUACCGCCACGAGUGAGUGAGCCAGUGUGGUAAAGUGGAGACAUUCAUCUCUUGGAUGAAGGUCGAGAUCUCAUGUUUACGAGAUUGUACGUUUACCAGUUUACUGGAUUACACGUUUAAGGAGUUACUGGUUCACUAAUCUACAUUAUCAUUUAGAGACUGAUGAAAUGAUGUAAAGAAGUAUCUAAUUAAAUAAAGUAACUUUAAACUUGUAA